rnacentral:rRNA from 1 species
CCUACGGGGGGCUGCAGUGGGGAAUUUUGGACAAUGGGGGCAACCCUGAUCCAGCCAUGCCGCGUGCGGGAAGAAGGCCUUCGGGUUGUAAACCGCUUUUAGCCGGGAAGAAAAGGCGAGGGAUAACACCCUUCGUUCUUGACGGUACCGGCGGAAUCAGCACCGGCUAACUACGUGCCAGCAGCCGCGGUAAUACGUAGGGUACGAGCGUUAAUCGGAAUUAGUGGGGGCGGUGCGUGCGCAGGCGGGUGAAAGCCCCGGGCUCAACCUGGGAAUGGCAUUGGAUACUGGCGGGCUUGAGUGUGGCAGAGGGGGGUGGAAUUCCGCGUGUAGCAGUGAAAUGCGUAGAGAUGCGGAGGAACACCGAUGGCGAAGGCAGCCCCCUGGGCUGACACUGACGCUCAGGCACGAAAGCGUGGGGAGCAAACAGGAUUAGAUACCCGAGUAGUC